CAUGASCCCUGCCGAGCCGUGAGGCCGCGGGCCUAAAGACGGGUGCAGCAGUCGUUCGUCUCGUUGGACAAAAUGCCUCGCUUGACCGGAUGGAGUGCCUCCGAUGAGCCACCCACCCGCAGCACAUAACAUUCCGAAUCCGAGAGCACGGGCGAAGAGCCUCGUGCGCCGAGGCAGCCAUGCAGCUGGGCUAGGCGUGCCGGGGACACGAGGCUUGCCUGGCGUCCGACCCACCACCCGUGAGGGCAUGGGACGGAGAUAAACAAACGAGCCAUCGAAUU
rnacentral:misc_RNA from 1 species